UUUCUUAUUCGUCAGAUACAACCUUUCCUCUUGCAAGUGUUGUCUCUCGGGAGGUCUCAGAAGGCUGUUAGGAGUGUGCUCAGUUCUUGAAAAAUAGCAGGCAAUACACAGAGUUUACCAACAAAUCCCUCCCUCUCGCUAAGUAUUGUUUUCAAGGAAUUUAGGUAGGAGCUAAACAAAGCUAAACAGUUUCAAGCUGUCUAAAAUGGAAAAAAAAUAUUAAGGCUUUUCUUCCAAGAAUUCUUUGCCCGCUUGAUUCCUGCAUGUGAAAUACCUUGUGCUUCCAUCAUCUCUAACAUCCACAGCUGCCAGGAAAUAAAGCGGCUUAGUACCUACUUUCCUAGCAGCAAAAAGGGGAAAAACAUGCAAGACUUCCUUCAUACACAAUUCAAGAGAAAACCAGGCAGCAGACAAAAAACUCUAACAUCUAAUCCACUCUGCCUUUUACAGAUCACCUUGAACAAAAGCCAAUCCCAAUAUCAGCAUUGUCCGAUGGAGUGGCAGUUGUGUGCUGUGAGGGCAGUAGGUACAAGAGGCUGGGGUGGGAGGCAGAGAAGGUCAGUCCCCAUCCAGGAUUUCUUCCCCUGUUGUACUGAACAGUGUCUGCAUGCUGCUGUGUUGCUAUGACACUACGCUCCUAGAAACUGCAAUUAAUAAGCAGAGCAGCCUUUCUUACUGGGAUAACUGCUACUUCUCUUUUGCCAGAGGACUUGACAGAUGCCGCAGUGAAAAGAUAACAGUUCUUUUCACACUGCCACUGAAGCAGUACAGAGUUUAAGGGCUCGAGCUGUCAGACGACAUGCAUACGUGUUCGCAAAAUGGCGGCGCAGGCAGUCAUACGAGUCUUAAAGACUGCACUUUGGUAUGAGACGGGAAGAAUCUCGCCAGCAAAGGUUAUUUGAACACACUCACUUAUUUCUAGAAUAUGAGCCUGACAGCCGCCCAUUUCAGGAAUGGAUGAGCAGAGUCUACCUUCCCUAGCUGCAUGGUCAAACUACAAUAAAUGAU